GUUGUUCAGUAUUGGAAUUAGCUCCCAACCACAUUUAAAGCCUCAUAUUCAUUCAGGCUUCACUUCUGCCUGAAGUCAGCUGCAUGUGCACUAGCCGGUGGAUCUAGUUCGAACACUAGCAACCAUAUAGGUUGUGAAAAGUAUUGAUCCCAGAGACCCAGCCUUGGGCACACAUUCAUCUGUGCCUUGAGAUUAGAUACCGUUGUCAUCUUGUUGCAGUAUCCCACCCCUGAAGAAGAGGUUCCAUGAAUACAGAUAACCUUGAAACGUUGGGUUUCUGUCUUAACCUACAGACAUAGCUGGGUCCUGUAUUGCAACUAUUACAUUUUUUUUUAAUGUUAUCUGUGAAUGGCGCCUGCAUAUUUCUUUCCCUUUUGUGCUUAUAGUCACUUGGAUGUGCUUUGUAUAGCUAGUAGCAGCCUUUCAUAUCUUUUUCAAUAAAAACGUCUUAUGAA